rnacentral:misc_RNA from 1 species
GAUGAAGAACGUAGCGAAAUGCGAUAAGUAAUGUGAAUUGCAGAAUUCAGUGAAUCAUCGAAUCUUUGAACACACAUUGCGCCCGCCAGUAUUCUGGCGGGCAUGCCUGUUCGAGCGUCAUUUCAACCAUCAAGCCCCCGGGCUUGUGUUGGGGACCUGCGGCUGCCGCAGGCCCUGAAAAGCAGUGGCGGGCUCGCUGUCACACCGAGCGUAGUAGAUUUUAUCUCGCUCAGGGCGUGCUGCGGGUUCCGGCCGUUAAACCACCUUCAUAACCCAAGGUUGACCUCGGAUCAGGUAGGAAGACCCGCUGAACUUAAGCAUAUCAAUAAGCGGAGGA